GUUGGGUUCUUCCAUAAAAGUUUUAUUCUAGCUAGGGAGUUUCCUGUAAGAUUGUUUCACAUGUAAGGUUUACCAAGAAGGAGUAGAGGAUCUAAAAGAUUUUCGGCUAAGGAGUAGUCGCAGUGUUUUGUAUUAGUUUUCAAUUAGAUUUGGAAUUAGCUAUUGUUUAAAUCCCGGCAAAAUUCGUGCCAGCCGCCGCGGUUACACGAAAGGGGUGAGGGUACUUUAUUGGUUUGAAGUUAAUUGUUGUAAUUGGUUAGAAGGAAGCCUUUAUUGGGUGAAAUUUUAAAGUCUAGGUUAACCGGUAUCAGGUGAAUGAAGCUUUGAAGUUUAGGAUUAAAACUAGGAUUAGAUACCCUACUAUUCUAAGUGUUAAAGUUGAACCUGAGUAGUAAGAGAUAUGAACUUGAAACUCAAAGAAUUUGGCGGUGUUUUAGUCCAUUCAGAGGAAUCUGUCCCGUAAUCGAUAAUCCACGUUUACUUUACUUGAGUUGGUUUCCAGCUUGUAUACCGCCGUCAAAAGAGUGAUUCUAGAGAAUGCCCUCUAAUACUUUUAAUAAAGUUUAUGUCAGGUCAAGGUGCAGCUUAUGUUCAAGGGGAGAUGGGUUACAUUAAGGAUACUUAAACGGAUGCUUUAUUGUAAUAUAGGGCUGAAGGUGGAUUUGAAUGUAAUGAAAUUUAGGGAAAUUUAGUGAAAUUGGCUCUAAAACAAGCACACAUCGCCCGUCGCUCUCGUUUAUUAAGGCGAGAUAAGUCGUAACAAAGUAGAUGUACCGGAAGGUGCCUCUAGAAAGU
rnacentral:ncRNA from 1 species